CCAGUGCUGGGGCCCGGGGAUCACUGUCGACAUUGUCCCUGUCCUGGUAACGCAGAAAGCGGACGCUCCGUCGGACACUCCUGUCACGCUGACAGCUCAUCCAAUCAAAUCCUCUGCAACUGCACAAAUGGCUACAUAGGGCCUCGCUGUGAUCGGUGCGCCCCUGGUUACUACGGCAACCCCAAGCAUCCAGGUGGGCAGUGCCGCCCGUGCCAGUGCAGUGGCAACAUCGACGCCCACGACCCCGAGUCAUGCGAGCCCGUGACCGGCCGAUGCCUGAGCUGCCUAUACAACACGGAUGGACCCUCCUGCUCUGACUGUAAACAUGGUUACUACGGCAAUGCCCUGGCCCAGGACUGCAGGCGUUGCACAUGUGUAACAGCAGGUACACAACAGUCCUCAUGCAGCGAUGGCCAUUGCCACUGUGACAGACAGACAGGAGCGUGCCCGUGUCGGGACAACGUGGUCGGGUACAACUGUGACCAGUGUGCCCCCGACCACUGGAACUAUGGCACGGACAGAAGGUGUGAGCGGUGUGGCUGCCACCCUCAGCAUGCCAGGGGAUCCCCCUGCAACAUGGUAGAGGCCUCAUAGUUGUGAAAGGCUUUUGUUCAGUGUACUUUACCUCCAUUAUGUGUUAACUACAGUAUGUUUUAACUACAGUAUGUUUUAACUACAGUAUGUGUUAACAUCAGUUUAAUUGACUGGUUUGAUGAUACGUCUGUCUGUCUGUCCCCCUGUUUGUCUGUCUGUCUGUCCCCCUGUCCAUCUGUCUGUC